UACGGAGGGAGCUAGCGUUGUUCGGAAUUACUGGGCGUAAAGCGCACGUAGGCGGCUUUGUAAGUUAGAGGUGAAAGCCCGGGGCUCAACCCCGGAAUUGCCUUUAAGACUGCAUCGCUUGAAUCCGGGAGAGGUGAGUGGAAUUCCGAGUGUAGAGGUGAAAUUCGUAGAUAUUAGGAAGAACACCAGUGGCGAAGGCGGCUCACGUGGCCCGGUACUGACGCUGAGGCGCGAAAGCGUGGGGAGCAAACAGG
rnacentral:rRNA from 1 species